rnacentral:rRNA from 1 species
CAACAGGGAUUACCUCAGUAACGGCGAGUGAAGCGGUAACAGCUCAAAUUUGAAAUCUGGCUCUCGGGCCCGAGUUGUAAUUUGUAGAAGAUGCUUUGGGUGUGGCUCCGGUCUAAGUUCCUUGGAACAGGACGUCAUAGAGGGUGAGAAUCCCGUACGUGACUGGUCGCCUUCCCCGUGUAAAGCUCUUUCGACGAGUCGAGUUGUUUGGGAAUGCAGCUCAAAAUGGGUGGUAUAUUUCAUCUAAAGCUAAAUAUUGGCCAGAGACCGAUAGCGCACAAGUAGAGUGAUCGAAAGAUGAAAAGCACUUUGGAAAGAGAGUUAAACAGUACGUGAAAUUGUUGAAAGGGAAGCGCUUGCAACCAGACUUGCAGGCUGCUGAUCAUCCGGGGUUCUCCCCGGUGCACUCGGCAGUUUUCAGGCCAGCAUCGGUUUGGGUGGUGGGAUAAAGGCCUUGGGAAUGUGGCUCUCUUCGGGGAGUGUUAUAGCCCAAGGUGCAAUGCCGCCUACCUGGACCGAGGACCGCGCUUCGGCUAGGAUGCUGGCGUAAUGGUUGUAAGCGACCCGUCUUGAAACACGGACCAAGGAGUCUAACAUCUAUGCGAGUGUUUGGGUGUUAAACCCAUGCGCGUAAUUAACGUGAACGGAGGUAAGAACCCUUAAGGGUGCAUUAUCGACCGAUCCUGAUGUCUUCGGAUGGAUUUGAGUAAGAGCAUAGCUGUUGGGACCCGAAAGAUGGUGAACUAUGCCUGAAUAGGGUGAAGCCAGAGGAAACUCUGGUGGAGGCUCGCAGCGGUUCUGACGUGCAAAUCGAUCGUCAAAUUUGGGUAUAGGGGCGAAAGACUAAUC